GCUAAGCUGUCACGGGGCUGUGGACAAUCUCUGGCUCUUGGGCCAUGAGGUUGUGUGUCAUUGUCCCCCUCUGUCUCUGUGACUCCCUCCAACUCCUCUGGCUUCUGCUUACUCAUAAUCUUUUUAUGGCUAACACGCAACUUCUUCCACAAUCAACAUGUUCGCUCUGUAAAUUCCAAAUUCUUUAUUUUUUUGUGUCUUUUUGAGACAGUUUCACUAUGUAGUUCGGCUAACCUUGAACUCUAUCCCAAACUGGCCUCAAACUCAAGUGAUCCUCUUGCUUCAGCCUCUCGAGUGCUGGGAUUAUGGGCAUGUGCUCAAACUGCAAUGUGUGAUCAGAAUUACCUGAGCUCUUGAACUACACAUUGUUGGGUCCUUGCCGUGGUUCCUAAUGAGCAGUCUUGCAGAGGGUCUGAGAAUUUGCUCUUUUUGUUAUGUUUGCCUGUUUGUUUUGAGACAGUGUCUCACUAUGUAGGCCCAGCAAGCCUCAGACUGUCAGUUCCGCUCCGACCUCCUGAGCAGGCAUUCCGGGUGUGCAACCUCGCCCCGCCCUGAGGAUUUACAUUUUUCUUCCCAGAUGGAAUGUGUCACACCCCUCCUCCUCUCCUUAGUCACUGCUGCGGAUGAAUAGUACAAUGAAAGCACUUUUCACUGCGGACAGCAGGACAAUGGGAACAUUUCUCUCCCCUGGGGCCGCAGGAUUGCAACAACACCCAGGGGUCUGCCUUUCACUCAUGACUGCUUCUCUCCCGAAAUGCCCUGGGAGCCACAUGGUACAGGGCACAUCCCACCACCAAAUCUGCUUGAGGGACCCCCGUGUAUCCCCAGACUUCUGAGUCACAGCAGAAGGAGAUGAGCAGCUCCCUGACUCUUACAUCAGCCUGACAAAGUCUGAAUUUUUAAAAAGAGUUUUUGGCUAUUUACACUAUGUUGGUUCUUGCUAUCGAUGAGCAAGUGAUAUUCCAUUUUCUGAUAUACUCUUCAAUUUCCUUUUUCAGAGUACUGUAAUUUUCAAUAUAUGGAUCGUUAUCUUCCCUUGUUAAAUUGAUUCCCCACAUUUUAUUGUUUGAAUGUUAUUGGGAAGGCCCACACCCUUUUUCUCAAAUUUAAAUGUUUUAAAAUUUUUGAGGCAGGCUCUUGCUAAUUAUUUAAAUUGUCCAGAUUUGGGCUCGGACUUGCAAUCCUCCUGGCUCAGCUUCCCAGAGUGCUGGGAUUAGAAGGGUGCACUGUCACACUUAUCUGUGAUUUCCUGAAAUGGGACCUUGACUGGGAAUGUAGCUCAGUGGGAGAAAGCAUGCCCAGCCUGCACGAAGCCUGGGUUUUACCCUCCAGCACUACACACACACAAAUAAUAAAACAAAACAGAAGAAAAAUGACUAAAA